rnacentral:sRNA from 1 species
CAACGCGAUAGCUAUUGGAUCGAACGUCAUUACUGAGUUUUCAUAAAAGAAACAGUAUUACGUUUGUUUGCGCUGAAGAAGUUGACGACGAUGAAAGAAAGUUUACUUUUCUGUUUAGGGUUUCUGGUUGGUCUCCAAGCACAGGAAGAUUAUACUGAGCCAACAGUACUAUUUAAUGACGAGCCUAUGACAAUGCCUAUACCAAUGCCCAGACUUUCUCUCCAAAGUAUGCCCAGACUCAGACCAAUUGAUUUAUUAAAGAAACUCAAGUCCAAAGAAGACAUAAUUAGGCCAUAUCAUCUAACUACAAAAGACAAGCCUACACUAGUACGUCCCGCUGACAGAAAGAAGCCUAAACUAGACCUCCUAGAUGACCAAGACAAGCAGAGACUAGUCUAUUCAGCUGACCAAGACGAACACAGACUGGGCUUUUUUGCUGAUCAAAACAAGCCAGAACUAGACAGGUUCAACUAGAUAAACAGCCGAUUCCACAACAAUACUAAAUCCUUCAAAGUUGGUCUUGAGAGCUGUAUCAUCUACAUCUAUUUCCAUGUAUCAACAAGUUCAUAACACCCGAAUCAACAAUGUCCAAACACCCGAAUGAACAAUGUCUAAACACCCGAAUGAACAAUGUCUAAACACCUGAAUCAACAUUGUCUAAACACCUGAAUCAACUAUGUCUAAACACCUGAAUCAACAUUGUCUAAACACCUGAAUCAACUAUGUCUAAACACAUGAAUCAACAUUGUCUAAACACCUGAAUCAACAUUGUCUAAACACCUGAAUCAACAUUGUCUAAACACCUGAAUCAACAUUGUCUAAACACCUGAAUCAACUAUGUCUAAACACCUGAAUCAACAUUGUCUAAACACCUGAAUCAACAUUGUCUAAACACCUGAAUCAACAUUGUCUAAACACCUUGAUAGCCACGCUAUGUAUACCCAUUCGUCAACAAAUUCUUAACAACUGAAUUCCAGGCUGAGAAUUGAAGAAGCUUGGUUAAGUAUGUAUAGUUUUAAGUGCCCACAAUGAGACUUUUUUUUUCUGACUUACUUUUUCUUGCAGAUAAGAAAUAAACUUUCUGUUGUAUA